AACGGGCUGUCCCCAUACCCCGUCUGGUAUGGGCACCAAAACACAUAAGGUCUCCAUACCACGUCCGGUAUGAGAGACCAUGUUCUCGGUAGGGUUCUCUACAGACCCGGUCCGUCUACCAUCUCCCAGGAUAUCUAGUCAGGCUGUCCACAUUUUCCACUUAUCAAUUCACAUAACCUUUUUGCCUUUUUCCUUUAUCUCAAUCAUCCAAUCAUACACAACAUGUAAACCAGUAAUUGACACCAAACAAGACAAUACAGUAUCGGGUUCACCAUAAUACAAACUAUAAUAAAAGAAACCAUAGUUCAUGCAUACGAGACCAUAACAUAAUUACAUCAAACAUCAUGCUGCAUUUAAUACUGAAAAUUAGACCAAACAAUAACAGACCAACACUGUAUCAUACUCGGGCUCCAUUGGCAACCUUAAUCAAUUAUACAUCUAUAAAGUCACAAAAUACAAUUUAAUUAUUUAUUUAGCUUUAAUACCGUGAUAGGAAACAGGGUGAGGGGUCCUUACCUGUUUUGGGGUCUGAAUUCGACUCUACAGUGUGCCUACAGGCUGUCCCUAAUUUUCCUGAAUUUUUUUCAAAAAACUGAAACGCAC
rnacentral:lncRNA from 1 species